AGAAUCAACGCUGGCGGCGUGCCUAACACAUGCAAGUCGAACGAGAAAGUGGAGCAAUCCACAAGUAAAGUGGCGCACGGGUGAGUAACACGUGACUAACCUACCCUUGAGUGGGGGAUAACCUAGAGAAAUCUGGGCUAAUACCGCAUAAUACCUUCGGGUCAAAAGGAGCAAUUCGCUUAAGGAGGGGGUCGCGGCCGAUUAGUUAGUUGGCGGGGUAAUGGCCCACCAAGACUAUGAUCGGUA
rnacentral:rRNA from 1 species